rnacentral:rRNA from 1 species
AAUCGACAAUCCACGUUAACUUUCACUUUAAUUAAAAAUUUAUAUACCGCCAUCUAAAAAACUAAUUCAAUGAUAAUAUUUUAAAUAAAAACUAAAAAGUUAGGUCAAGGUGUAAUCUACAUUAAAGUAAAUAAUGGGUUACAUUAAAAUUAAUUUAAGGAUUAUUAUACAAAAACAUCUUUUGAAAAAGGAUUUAAAAGUAAUAAUAAAAUAAUAUUUUAUUAUGAUCUAGAUAAUAAAUGUGCACACACCGCCCGUCACCU